AGGACGAACGCUGGCGGCGUGCUUAACACAUGCAAGUCGAGCGGAAAGGCCCUUCGGGGUACUCGAGCGGCGAACGGGUGAGUAACACGUGAGUAACCUGCCCCUAGCUCUGGGAUAGCUCCGGGAAACCGGGAUUAAAUACCAGAUACGACCACUUUAGACAUCUGUCGUGGUGGAAAGGAUUCCGGCUAGGGAUGGGCUCGCGGCCUAUCAGCUUGUUGGUGGGGUAACGGCCUACCGAAGGCGACGACGGGUA
rnacentral:rRNA from 1 species